GAUGAACGCUGGCGGCGUGCCUAAUACAUGCCAGUCGAGCGAACAGAUGAGGAGCUUGCUCCUCUGACGUUAGCGGCGGACGGGUGAGUAACACGUGGAUAACCUACCUAUAAGACUGGGAUAACUUCGGGAAACCGGAGCUAAUACCGGAUAAUAUAUUGAACCGCAUGGUUCAAUAGUGAAAGACGGUUUUGCUGUCACUUAUAGAUGGAUCCGCGCCGCAUUAGCUAGUUGGUAAGGUAACGGCUUACCAAGGCAACGAUGCGUAGCCGACCUGGGGGGGGGUCCGGCACAACGGGAAAUGAGAAAGGGGCCAGACCCCUAGGGGGGGCAGCAGGAGGGAAUCUUCCGCAAUGGGCGAAAGCCUGACGGAGCAACGCCGCGGGAGGGAUGAAGGUUUUCGGAUCGUAAAACUUUGUUAUUAGGGAAGAAAAAAUGUGUAAGUAACAAUGCACGUUUGGACGGAACCUAAUCAGAAAGCCCCGGCUAACUACGG
rnacentral:rRNA from 1 species